UGAAAGCUCGCCUAAUCGUGUAUGAGUGAUCAGUGUUUUGUAAAAACGCAAGGGAGUUUUUGUAAAACAACAUGGCUAAAUAACACACUCAUUAAAAAUAUUUUUGAAGCCUCUAUUUAUCAAAGAAAAUCACCUAAAAUGUUUUGGAGUCUAGCCAAAUGAAUUGGAAAUUGUCAUAAUGAUUAGGAUAUGUUUUUUAAAUUGUCUAAUUGAUUGGAGCAUAUACCCAAUCGACUGUGUUCCAUUUCAGAACUAAA
rnacentral:lncRNA from 1 species